CCUACGGGAGGCAGCAGUGAGGAAUAUUGGUCAAUGGGCGCGAGCCUGAACCAGCCAAGUCGCGUGAAGGAGGACUGCCCUACGGGUUGUAAACUUCUUUUGUAAGGGAAUAAAGUCAGGCACGUGUGCCUGUUUGAAUGUACUUUAUGAAUAAGGAUCGGCUAACUCCGUGCCAGCAGCCGCGGUAAUACGGAGGAUCCGAGCGUUAUCCGGAUUUAUUGGGUUUAAAGGGAGCGUAGAUGGGUUGUUAAGUCAGUUGUGAAAGUGCGCGGCUCAACCGUAAAAUUGCAAUUGAUACUGGCAGUCUCGAGUACAGUUGAGGUAGGCGGAAUGCGUGGUGUAGCGGUGAAAUGCUUAGAUAUCACGCAGAACUCCGAUUGCGAAGGCAGCUUACUAACCUGCCACUGACAUUGAGGCUCGAAAGUGUGGGUAUCAAACAGGAUUAGAUACCCGUGUAGUC
rnacentral:rRNA from 1 species